AGCUUGGCUGGCCCCUGGGGCACAGCUCUGGGGCUUGUCAGAGGGAGUUAGCCUCACAAUAGCCUGCCUGGGUCCCAUCCAGCAGGCCUGGCUGGCCCUGCCACUGGCCACCAGGAGUCUGAGUAGAGUCCAGUCCAAGCCAGCCCUAGGCCAUGGGAUUUAGAGUGCAGAGCCUCUUGAAACAUGGACUGCUGGGGUCCUAGGAAAGGAGGGGGACCAUGAAUAGUGGAGCUGACUGCUAGGGAGCCAACCCAGUUGCAAGGCGAGGAGAGGGAGUCCUGAGCGCUGAUCUAGAAACUCAAGCAGGUACCCCUUACCCAGCCUAGGGGAACACUGAGGGAAGAAGGCUGCAUUCUUGGGCACCCGGGCUCAGCCGCUGGAUACCUGGAACUCCGGGAGAUUCCAAACACUGUUCAGGGGCCAGGGUAGGGUCACACCUGCCCAGGUCUUCCAAUGAGGAUCCAGAAGAGACCAACAGCUCCAGUCUGUACAACAAGAUUCCCGGAAUGUCAGCACUGUGAGAGACGUCAGAGAUCAUCCAGCCCAGCCCCUCGUCUGGCAGAGGAGGAUGCCCAGGGCAGUGCCUGCAGUCCCUCAUGCCGCCUGGACCACCUCAGCUCCAGUGGAGACAUCUGCCCUCCCAGGCAAUCUUGAAGGCAGAGGCCAGCAGGAAGGCAGGUGCCCUGGGAAAAGGAAGGAAGGCCUCUCCAGUUCCAGGAAGAAGAAACCUGAGGGGAGACCUCACCCCACUGCUCCCCACAACCUGAAGAGAGGGCCACCCACCUGUCAGAUCUGCCUCAGCCUCCUGCCAGGCUCCCUCCCCGCCUGCCCGCCCGCACAAGACAGCCCAGUCCUGAGCUUAUGGCACUCUGAGAACUUUCCAAGUUAGCAACCACAGCAUCUUCCAGAGGAGAGAGAGAAGAGGUCACUAGACGGUUGGGUGUAUAGAAGGUGCAGGGUUGAAGAAAAACCAUGCAAAUCAUUUGUAUAAAAUGUUUCAUUCGAUGUCUGUACUAAAAAAAAAAAUACAUACAACCUGAAAGUAAAGAGUUAUUUUAUUUGGUGGGAAUGUUUAGGACUCGGAGCCCAGGAGACAGCAUCUCAGUAGCUCUGAGAAAACUGCUUCAAGGAGGCAGGAGGGAAGUCAGGCUGUAUACAGGUUCUCAACAAAGGGAGCAGACAGUCUGAACAGCAAAG
ensembl:lncRNA